CACGUAGGGUGCGAGCGUUUGUCCGGAAUUAUUGGGCGUAAAGAGCUCGUAGGCGGUGUGUCGCGUCGGCCGUGAAAACCUGCAGCUUAACUGUGGGCGUGCGGGCGAUACGGGCAGACUGGAGUACUGCAGGGGAGACUGGAAUUCCUGGUGUAGCGGUGGAAUGCGCAGAUAUCAGGAGGAACACCGGUGGCGAAGGCGGGUCUCUGGGCAGUAACUGACGCUGAGGAGCGAAAAGCGUGGGGGAGCGAACAGG
rnacentral:rRNA from 1 species